AUUGAACGCUGGCGGCAGGCCUAACACAUGCAAGUCGAGCGGAUGAAGGGAGCUUGCUCCUGGAUUCAGCGGCGGACGGGUGAGUAAUGCCUAGGAAUCUGCCUGGUAGUGGGGGAUAACGUCCGGAAACGGGCGCUAAUACCGCAUACGUCCUGAGGGAGAAAGUGGGGGAUCUUCGGACCUCACGCUAUCAGAUGAGCCUAGGUCGGAUUAGCUAGUUGGUGGGGUAAAGGCCUACCAAGGCGACGAUCCGUAACUGGUCUGAGAGGAUGAUCAGUCACACUGGAACUGAGACACGGUCCAGACUCCUACGGGAGGCAGCAGUGGGGAAUAUUGGACAAUGGGCGAAAGCCUGAUACAGACAUGCCGCGUGUGUGAAGAAGGUCUUCGGAUUGUAAAGCACUUUAAGUUGGGAGGAAGGGCAGUAAGUUAAUACCUUGCUGUUUUGACGUUACCAACAGAAUAAGCACCGGCUAACUUCGUG
rnacentral:rRNA from 1 species